rnacentral:rRNA from 1 species
UACAGAGGUCUCAAGCGUUGUUCGGAUUCAUUGGACGUAAAGGGUGCGUAGGCGGCGCGGUAAGUCGGGUGUGAAAUCUCGGAGCUUAACUCCGAAACUGCAUUCGAUACUGCCGUGCUUGAGGACUGGAGAGGAGACUGGAAUUCCUGGUGUAGCGGUGAAAUGCGCAGAUAUCAGGAGGAACACCGGUGGCGAAGGCGGGUCUCUGGGCCGAUACUGACGCUGAGGAGCGAAAGCGUGGGGAGCGAACAGG